CCUACGGGUGGCAGCAGUGAGGAAUAUUGGUCAAUGGCCGGAAGGCUGAACCAGCCAUGCCGCGUGAAGGUCAGUGCCCUAUGGGCGUUAAACUUCUUUUGUUCGGGAGCAAUAAUGGUCACGUGUGGCCAGACGAGAGUACCGUACGAAUAAGCAUCGGCUAACUCCGUGCCAGCAGCCGCGGUAAUACGGGGGAUGCAAGCGUUAUCCGGAUUUACUGGGUGUAAAGGGAGCGUAGACGGCCAGACAAGUCAGAAGUGAAAGCCCAGGGCUCAACCCUGGGACUGCUUUUGAAACUGCCGGGCUGGAGUGCAGGAGAGGUAAGCGGAAUGCCUAGUGUAGCGGUGAAAUGCGUAGAUAUUAGGAGGAACACCGGUGGCGAAGGCGGCCUGCUGGACUGCGACUGACGUUGAGGCCCGAAAGCGUGGGGAGCAUACAGGAUUAGAUACCCCUGUAGUC
rnacentral:rRNA from 1 species